UACGUAGGGUGCAAGCGUUAAUCGGAAUUACUGGGCGUAAAGCGUGCGCAGGCGGCUUUGCAAGACAGAUGUGAAAUCCCCGGGCUUAACCCGGGAACUGCAUUUGUGACUGCAUGGCUGGAGUGCGGCAGAGGGGGAUGGAAUUCCGCGUGUAGCAGUGAAAUGCGUAGAUAUGCGGAGGAACACCGAUGGCGAAGGCAAUCCCCUGGGCCUGCACUGACGCUCAUGCACGAAAGCGUGGGGAGCAAACAGG
rnacentral:rRNA from 1 species